UAUGCUAAACUUCUAGAGCUUGCAUAUAAGUACAUUUGCAUGAAUAAAGCUACUUCUGACCGAUGCCAAACAGAUGGAAAAGAUUAGAAGAAGAAACAAAAAAAAAAUGAAGCUCCAACCAAAUCAAGUAGACCGAUUGUCAACAAAAGAGCUUCACCUCGACGAUGGAGUUUGAAGCCAAACUAUGACAGGUAUGACUCUUAUACUCCUCUUUUUGCUCCUCGUGCGUAGAUCCU
rnacentral:lncRNA from 1 species